rnacentral:tRNA from 1 species
GCGGGUGUCGUAUAAUGGCUAUUACACAGCCCUUCCAAGGCUGGUAUGGGGGUUCGAUUCCCCUCACCCGCUCAA